rnacentral:rRNA from 1 species
GAUGAACGCUGGCGGCGUGCCUAAUACAUGCAAGUCGAGCGAACAGACGAGGAGCUUGCUCCUCUGACGUUAGCGGCGGACGGGUGAGUAACACGUGGAUAACCUACCUAUAAGACUGGGAUAACUUCGGGAAACCGGAGCUAAUACCGGAUAACAUGUUGAACCGCAUGGUUCAACAGUGAAAGACGGUCUUGCUGUCACUUAUAGAUGGAUCCGCGCCGCAUUAGCUAGUUGGUAAGGUAACGGCUUACCAAGGCAACGAUGCGUAGCCGACCUGAGAGGGUGAUCGGCCACACUGGAAAUGAGACACGGUCCAGACUCCUACGGGAGGCAGCAGUAGGGAAUCUUCCGCAAUGGGCGAAAGCCUGACGGAGCAACGCCGCGGGAGUGAAGAAGGUCUUCGGAUCGUAAAACUCUGUUAUUAGGGAAGAACAAAUGUGUAAGUAACUAUGCACGUCUUGACGGUACCUAAUCAGAAAGCCACGGCUAACUACGUG